GGGUGUUUAGUAUAAUUUUAAUAUAGGCGAUUGCAGAUCGUUUGAUUUUUGCGCUUU
rnacentral:tRNA from 1 species